AAGGAAUCAAAAUACCUCGAGGUUGGAUUAUAUCGCCGGUACGCGUCGUCGGAACUCUAUUUUCCGGCGAGCUUCGUAUCUCUUCCUUAUGCAUUAAACCUAUUGCUUUUUUUUUGUAUAAAUGAUUGUGCAUGCCUUUUACCAUACUGUUGCGAUUUGUUUUGGUUGUUGGUGAAUCUUAAGGUUGUUUGUGUGCGUUUGAAUCGGUGGCUUAAGGAUAGUUUUGUUGUUAUCGAUUUAAGUUGAUGGGUUUAAGGUAAGUGUUGGAGGCACUUAAGGGUGUAGAAGUUCCGUUUAGGGAUUUAGAGAGAGGAUUGAAAAAAGGUUUAAGGUAUUCACGGUUAGGAAGAAGAAGAACUAAGGAAGGAGAUUCUAAAAGAAGUGGUCCUGGUUAAGUGAAGAAGUCUCGUUUUUGACCCAACUAUAAUUAAUGUAUCUCUUGAACUUUCUAUCUAACAAAUGACAAAUAUUUUUUAAAAGUGAGUUGGUGUUUAGUCUCCCCAUGCCUCGG
rnacentral:lncRNA from 1 species